UGUCAACUAAGAAUUGUAAACUUUAAAUUGUUCUUGAAUGUGCGAAAAAUGUAAGGCAACUCAUGCUUUGAUUAUAGUGGGCAUUGUGGGCGUAACCCUUCUUAUUGGACUCCUACGACAUGCCUCAGUACAUUUGAUAUUAUUUUACUUACCCCCGUCGUCAUGGUUAUUGGAUUUGCUUACACAAUCAAACUAAUGAAUUUAUAAAUUUUGCGCUGUUAGCAAUAUUUGCUAUACCAAUUUGCUGUAUAUAUGCGUUUGUGGUGAGGAUAAGAAUUCUACUUGAGCUUUGGAGCUCUUUGAAAAUAUUUUGGAAAAUGGGUAACAUAUUUCUUCUCACGUUUCUAGCUGUGUAUCCUUGCUGUUGGCUAUUAUUUAUUCUCUACUUUUAUUAUGACUUGUACAAAAAACAUUGAGCUCAUACUAUUUCUUGAAGCGAAAGGCAUUCGCACUCCCUGAAGUGUUUCUGGUAAUGGUGGAAAAUAUUUGAAGAAUGGCCGACCCAACAGUUAUGGCGAAAAACUGUUGCUAAAGUUCCUAUUCACAAACGUGAUUAGCUGAAAAUUUGAUGCCGAGCUUCUAAUGAAUGAAAAUCAUUGGAAAGUUUGCCGCUGGCAAGCUCCGCUAAUAAGACACAUUGUCUAGCCAAAGGAUCUGGUCGAAGCGACAGGGUGCACGCGAAUCGCCGACAUUGUGUAUCUAGAAAUAUUUCGCAACAAAUUAUUCAACACUUUGCAUGCACACCAAAUGGCUGUGAGGAUGGAGGCGACUUGGCGAUGAACAUGGACAACAUGAGGCGACGGCGACGACUGCGACUGCGACGACUCUUGGCCCCCGACUCGAAUGCUUGAUGGCCACUCCGGAAUCCGGAUCGGAUCGGCUUGGAUCGCCCAGCUCCCAUCUCCCAUCUCCAAUCACCCAUCUCCUAUCCCCAAAGUCCCAGCUCCCAACUCCAAGCCCAUUCCCUUUAGCCCUGUCAUCGUCUUGUCUCCGCAGCGCACUGCUGUUUGUCAUUUCCUUCGGCUGCGGCUUGUUAAGUGCUGUUGGAAUUUGCCAUAUUGCCGCAGUUGCAUCCAUCGGACGACAUGGAUAUCUGCUAGUCGGUAGCCAGCCGGGGCAAACGUAAAUCAUGCCAAUUUAAAUGAGUGCAACCUGCGUUUUGACACUUGUCAUUGUCAUGGACCCCAAAUGUGGCCUCCGUUUGAUUGCCACUCCGUGAUCCGCAGACUGCAUGCCGUCGUCUUCAUUGCCGGCAGCUUCAGCACCACUCCCCAAUCUGCACAGAAAAAUAUUUUUAAAUUACAAAUAUAUCAAUUUUAUGAACUAUCAUAAGUGCUACACAAAGUGUCUGCUCACUUUAUAGC